UUAGGCUCAGUUGGUAUAGCGUGAGACCUUUUCAUCUCAGGGGUGCGGGUUCAAGCCCCACAUUGGGCAAAA